GGCCAUACCACCCUGAACGUGCCCGAUCUCGUCUGAUCUCGGAAGCUAAGCAGGGUCGGGCCUGGUUAGUACUUGGAUGGGGGACAUUUUUAUUAAACCACUACAAAAAAAAAAAAAAAAAUCCAGGUGCU
rnacentral:rRNA from 1 species